AUCAUUUCAAACAUUAUACACACGUAUUAUGAGCCUCAACCUGAGCUAACAAAACUCCGUCGCAUCGGAAAUCGCCUCUGGCGGCGACGGAGGGCCAAUCCCUACAAAUUUCCCAUCAACACAAUCGUUUCAUCAUCCUAUUUCACAAAUUAAACUUGUUUCUUUCUGAUUUUUAUCCAAAAAUUCAAACCAAGCCAAAUUGACACGAACCCUAGCUUACCAAAUCAACAAACGCCAUUGAAGAGAAAUCAGAGCCUAAUUCCUUAGGUCUUUGAUUCCUCCCAUAUCAAGCUACACAACAAUAACUAUAUUGAAGCGAACAGAUGAUUAAUGACCUACCUAUGGAGUAGUGACUUGCUCUGGUGGCUGUUGCAAUGGUGGCGAUGAAGAUGAUGAUGCAAAAAAUACCAAAGAUUCUAGGUUCAUGGCAGCUUGGAUUUGGAUUAUGGAGCAUGGAAAUAAAGACAUUUUGCACCUUAUGAAGGGACUAAAUGUAGAUUCUGCACUUGUACACUAACAGUGAAACUCCUACUGUGCAUUGUGAUACAAAGCCAAAACAUGACAGCAAAAGUUAGAGACUUUGGUUUGGCUAGGCUACUUUGCUUAACUAGGAACGUUAGCAGAUGUGCAGUGGCUUGUGAGGAGAUGGAUACCAUUUGAUUUUCUCAUUUUCAAUUUUUUUUUCAAGUAUGGGAUGAAUGUAUGCCAUGUUGAUUAUGUAAGUAAUAUAGUGUAUAACAUGUACCCUUGAUUCAAUUGUUGUUAUUUUCAUUUUUUAAUAGUUGUAUGUGAGGCAUGUAUGAGUGAUACAUAGGUGAUGGGAUGUGUAGUGUAAGGAUUUGAUGAUGUAAUGUAAUUGUAACCUAGUUUCACUUGAAAUGAAAUGGUUUUAUUUCUCCUAUAA